GAGUCUGAGGAAGCCUCAACCUCAGGGGCAGGUGGCAGAUCCUGUGUUUCACCGGACUGCGGUUGUGGUGUUGUGUCCAUCCUUGAAGACAACCAACUCUCAGAGCCCGUCACCAUGCCAGGCAGUGACUCCAUCUCUUUGUCCGGUUCACUGGGCACAGUUUCCUUUAACCCUGCUCUCACCUGAUCCACAUGCCGUUUCAGGGUUUUUCCAUUCCCGAUGGUGACAUUGUACGACACUGGACCAGAAGAGCUCUCGACGACUGCAGCUGCUUUUGCUGCACUUUUGUUUUCACAUCUGGCAGGAGCAGGUCAAAGACUGAUCGAAGUCUCCGUGACAUCAUCAGCUCAGCAGUCUGGACUGCCCUCUCUGCGAGACCAUUGGAGGAUGGGUGAAAAGG